AACGUCACAUAAAUGCUGGGACCCUUGAGUGCAAGCGCACCAGCGGCCAAGAUCAUUCUUGGUUCACAGAUUAGGUGGUGACGGUCAAGUUAUUUGCUCGAUUAAGAUAUAAUCGGUCCACCGUCGUAUGACGGUGAGAGAAACGUUCCGUAGGUGAACCUGCGGAAGGAUCAUUA
rnacentral:rRNA from 1 species